rnacentral:rRNA from 1 species
CAGUCGCCGCGGUAAUACAGAGGGUGCAAGCGUUAAUCGGAAUUACUGGGCGUAAAGCGCGCGUAGGUGGUUUGUUAAGUUGAAUGUGAAAUCCCCGGGCUCAACCUGGGAACUGCAUCCAAAACUGGCAAGCUAGAGUAGGGCAGAGGGUGGUGGAAUUUCCUGUGUAGCGGUGAAAUGCGUAGAUAUAGGAAGGAACACCAGUGGCGAAGGCGACCACCUGGGCUCAUACUGACACUGAGGUGCGAAAGCGUGGGGAGCAAACAGGAUUAGAUACCCCUGUAGUCCCUGUCUCUUAUAC